UAGGGAAUCUUCGGCAAUGGACGGAAGUCUGACCGAGCAACGCCGCGUGCGUGAAGAAGGUUUUCGGAUCGUAAAGCUCUGUUGUUAGAGAAGAACGUUGGUAGGAGUGGAAAAUCUACCAAGUGACGGUAACUAACCAGAAAGGGACGGCUAACUACGUGCCAGCAGCCGCGGUAAUACGUAGGUCCCGAGCGUUGUCCGGAUUUAUUGGGCGUAAAGCGAGCGCAGGCGGUUCAUUAAGUCUGAAGUUAAAGGCAGUGGCUUAACCAUUGUACGCUUUGGAAACUGGAGGACUUGAGUGCAGAAGGGGAGAGUGGAAUUCCAUGUGUAGCGGUGAAAUGCGUAGAUAUAUGGAGGAACACCGGUGGCGAAAGCGGCUCUCUGGUCUGUAACUGACGCUGAGGCUCGAAAGCGUGGGGAGCAAACAGG
rnacentral:rRNA from 1 species